AGGCAAACGAACGAUUUAUUGAUUCAACUAAAAGGCUAAAAAUACUUUCAACAGUAUUAAUUCUCAAAAAAUGUUACGUGAAAAGUAUUUUCCACACCUUUACCCUUAGCAGCAUACUGAUAAUAGGAUCAAGGGAGGUAUACAUUUGAAGUUUUUUUUACUAUAGUCCACUCGCAAAACGUAAAAUUUACAACAACCCCUGACGACGAACCGUCUGGCAACAAAUCCCUCCAGGCCAGUAAUUACUGCAUGGAAAAUUAAGCAACAAAUCCAUCUUUUCAUGCUGGACCUCUGCUGCUACUUCUGCUUCGCCGCUAUGCUGCACUAGUUUGCGAUCGGAGCUCCUUCAACUGCAGCUUACCAGUUGGAAGCGCUGUGUUGGAAGGGAAAUGCGAGCGUUAAGCCAACGGGCAAAAGGAAGGUGAGGCGGGGGAUGGAGAAACUCCACGCGUAAGGGAUGAACAAGAAAGGAAGUAAAGGACCGAUACAGCUGUCUCCGCUGAAUCGCAUCGAAGUAGUAUUGAAUCGUGGUGCAGAAGAUUUAUGAACGCCAUCAUUUUCUACGUUCAACCUUUUCAGCCAACACUCGUAACAAAGCAUCCUUUCCAGCUGGUGGGAUGCAUUUGGAGCAUUCUAAAAAUUUGCUACACCUUUUGAAAAUUUCGGCGAAAAUUGAACAGAAAACAUUUAUUCCAAUCAAAGGAAAAGUAAAGUUGGCUUUGCUUCAAUCGAGUUCAAAUGAGUGGACAACGCUUCAAGUAAGCAUUUGCUGGAGGUUUUUUUGGAAAUUUUACCUGUUGAGAGUAUAAACAAAUUGGAAGCCGUUGUUUCCGCGGAAAGGGGAGAAGUUAUGCGAGCAGUAGUGUGAAAGUUUUCACGGAUUACUUUUAUUUUGCUCCCUUGUAUCGUUCGAUUUGCCGGAAUAAAUCAAAUAGCAUGGAAACGGCUUUUGGUAUUAAACUGAAAA